AGAGUUUGAUCCUGGCUCAGAACGAACGCUGGCGGCGUGCUUAAUACAUGCAAGUCGAACGUGAAGCUGUAGCAAUACAGUGGAAAGUGGCGAACGGGUGAGUAACACGUAAGUAAUCUACCCCUAGGAUCGGGAUAACCUUGCCAACGCGGGGCUAAUACCGGAUGUGAUCUUUUUGUCGCAUGUUAGAGAGAUUAAAGGAGCGAUCCGCUUAGGGAUGAGCUUGCGCCCCAUUAGUUUGUUGGCGGGGUAACGGCCCACCAAGACUGCGAUGGGUAGCCGGCCUGAGAGGGUGGACGGCCACAUUGGGACUGAGAUACGGCCCAGACUCCUACGGGAGGCAGCAGUAGGGAAUUUUGCGCAAUGGACGAAAGUCUGACGCAGCAACGCCGCGUGAGGGAUGACGGCCUUCGGGUUGUAAACCUCUGUUGGAUGGGAAAAAACGGUAGCAAUACCUUGAUGGUACCAUUCGAGUAAGCACCGGCUAACUACGUGCCAGCAGCCGCGGUAAUACGUAGGGUGCAAGCGUUGUUCGGAAUCACUGGGCGUAAAGGGAGCGUAGGCGGGAUCGUAAGUUAGGAGUUUAAUGCAUGGGCUUAACCCAUGACCUGCUCUUAAUACUGCGGUUCUUGAGUAUGGGAGAGGGCGAUGGAAUUCCAGGUGUAGCGGUGGAAUGCGUAGAUAUCUGGAAGAACACCAGUAGCGAAGGCGGUCGCCUGGCCCAAUACUGACGCUGAGGCUCGAAAGCUAGGGGAGCAAACAGGAUUAGAUACCCUGGUAGUCCUAGCCGUAAACGAUGAACACUAGUUGCCGGAGGAGUCAAUCUUUUCGGUGACGAAGCUAACGCAUUAAGUGUUCCGCCUGGGAAGUACGCCCGCAAGGGUGAAACUCAAAGGAAUUGACGGGGGCCCGCACAAGCGGUGGAGCAUGUGCUUUAAUUCGAUGCAACGCGAAGAACCUUACCUAGACUUGACAUGGGGGUGAAAUUCUGUAGAAAUAUGGAGCCUUCCGCAAGGAACACCCUACACAGGUGCUGCAUGGUUGUCGUCAGCUCGUGUCGUGAGAUGUUGGGUUAAGUCCCGCAACGAGCGCAACCCUCGUCCUUAGUUGCUAACAGGUUAUGCUGAGAACUCUAAGGAGACUGCCUGGUUAACGGGGAGGAAGGUGGGGAUGACGUCAAGUCCUCAUGGCCUUUAUAUCCAGGGCUACACACGUGCUACAAUGGGCUGUACAAAGGGUUGCUAUCCCGCGAGGGGGCGCUAAUCCCAAAAAGCAGUUCUCAGUUCGGAUUGAAGUCUGCAACUCGACUUCAUGAAGGUGGAAUCGCUAGUAAUCGUGGAUCAGCAUGCCACGGUGAAUACGUUCCCGGGCCUUGUACACACCGCCCGUCACACCACGAAAGUCGACUGUACCAGAAGUUGCUGGGCUAACCUCUUCGGAGGAGGCAGGUACCUAAGGUACGGCCGGUAAUUGGGGUGAAGUCGUAACAAGGUA
rnacentral:rRNA from 1 species